AUGGAGAGUUUGAUCCUGGCUCAGGAUGAACGCUAGCGGCAGGCCUAAUACAUGCAAGUCGAACGGUAACAGGACCAGCAAUGGUCGCUGACGAGUGGCGCACGGGUGCGUAACACGUAUGCAAUCUACCUUUAACUGGAGAAUAGCCCCGAGAAAUCGGGAUUAAUACUCCAUAAUAUUAUGAAGUGGCAUCACUUUAUAAUUAAAGCUCAGGCGGUUAAAGAUGAGCAUGCGCGAUAUUAGCUAGUUGGUGAGGUAACGGCUCACCAAGGCUACGAUAUCUAGGGGAUCUGAGAGGAUUUACCCCCACACUGGUACUGAGACACGGACCAGACUCCUACGGGAGGCAGCAGUAAGGAAUAUUGGACAAUGGGCGCAAGCCUGAUCCAGCCAUGCCGCGUGCAGGAUGACGGCCCUAUGGGUUGUAAACUGCUUUUGUACGGGAAAAAACCCUUCUACGUGUAGAAGGCUGAUGGUACCGUAAGAAUAAGGAUCGGCUAACUCCGUGCCAGCAGCCGCGGUAAUACUGAGGGUGCAAGCGUUGUCCGGAUUUAUUGGGUUUAAAGGGUGCGUAGGCGGCUCAUUAAGUCUGGGGUGAAAGCCCGUUGCUCAACAACGGAACUGCCCUGGAAACUGGUGAGCUUGAGUACAGACGAGGUUGGCGGAAUGGAUGCUGUAGCGGUGAAAUGCAUAGAUAGCAUCCAGAACCCCGAUUGCGAAGGCAGCUGACUAGGCUGUAACUGACGCUGAGGCACGAAAGCGUGGGGAGCGAACAGGAUUAGAUACCCUGGUAGUCCACGCCGUAAACGAUGGAUACUCGCUGCCGGCGAUACAAUGUCGGUGGCUUAGCGAAAGCGUUAAGUAUCCCACCUGGGGAGUACGCCCGCAAGGGUGAAACUCAAAGGAAUUGACGGGGGCCCGCACAAGUGGUGGAGCAUGUGGUUUAAUUCGAUGAUACGCGAGGAACCUUACCUAGGCUAGAAUGCGCGUGACCGCCUCAGAGAUGAGG
rnacentral:rRNA from 1 species